GUACUCACUUUGGCAGCAUAUGUACUAAAAUUGGAAGGAUACAGAGAAGAUUAGCAAGGUCCCUAUGUAAGGAUGGCAUGCAAAUUUGUGAAGCAUUCCAUACUUAA